UCGGAAUUACUGGGCGUAAAGCGCAUGCAGGUGGUUUGUUAAGUCAGAUGUGAAAGCCCGGGGCUCAACCUCGGAAUAGCAUUUGAAACUGGCAGACUAGAGUACUGUAGAGGGGGGUAGAAUUUCAGGUGUAGCGGUGAAAUGCGUAGAGAUCUGAAGGAAUACCGGUGGCGAAGGCGGCCCCCUGGACAGAUACUGACACUCAGAUGCGAAAGCGUGGGGAGCAAACAGGAUUAGAUACCCUGGUAGUCCACGCCGUAAACGAUGUCUACUUGGAGGUUGUGGCCUUGAGCCGUGGCUUUCGGAGCUAACGCGUUAAGUAGACCGCCUGGGGAGUACGGUCGCAAGAUUAAAACUCAAAUGAAUUGACGGGGGCCCGCACAAGCGGUGGAGCAUGUGGUUUAAUUCGAUGCAACGCGAAGAACCUUACCUACUCUUGACAUCCAGAGAACUUUCCAAAAAUGGAUUGGUGG
rnacentral:rRNA from 1 species